GCGGCCGAAAGCGCUGAGUUGCCUGCGCUGUGGGGAGCAUGCGCACAGCGCCACCCUGGGGCCGAGGAGGCGUCGGGCCUCCUGCAAGGAGACCUCCACAGGUUCCACAUGAUGCUUCUGCUGACAUGCUGAGCCCCAUAACCAUGUCUAGCUGCAAGGGAGGCUGGAAAUGCAGGCUUUACACUGAGCUUCAGAGUGCCCAACUAUAUGCAGGCUUUGCUACUAAUGAAGUGAAUCAGGAAGCUGUGAGCAAUCUCUGCCCUGAAGAGGGCAGAAAGGGCUAGUGCUGAAGAUUGAACCCAGGGCCUUGUGCAUGCCAGGCAAGGACUCUUGCUGAGCCACACCUCUGGAUCAACAAUUUAGUUUUUUAGAAAAAUUAUAAAUAUACAUGGAACACCUACUGUAUAUGGGACACUGUGGGUGCAUUUUCAUCCAUGGACUUAUUUAUUUAGCUCUCCAACCUUGUGAGAUAUUUAUUAUCCUUUUAUAAAGUAGAGACCCCAACUUAGCAAGUCACCCUGAAAACAGAGGUCAGGAUGUGAACCCAGGUCUAAUUGCAGCCUUUCCCAGCAAACUUAGGAGUGAGCAGACCCUCCGAGGCUCUUCCCAGCAGAGGCUCUGGUGAUUACUUGCAGUUUCCCAAACAGCCUUUUCCUUUCCUGCAUCUGCCUUCAGACACAUUGUUCCGUCGGCCUGGAAAACUUUUCCGGUAUUCCUAGUAACUCCCCAGUGAACUUCAGACUCACUGUUCCAGUCUGUUAUCUAAUA